rnacentral:rRNA from 1 species
CCUACGGGGGGCAGCAGUGAGGAAUAUUGGUCAAUGGCCGAGAGGCUGAACCAGCCAAGUCGCGUGCGGGAAGAAUGUCCUAUGGAUUGUAAACCUCUUUUAUCCGGGAGCAACGUCACCCACGUGUGGGUGUUGGAGUGUACCUGAAGAAAAAGCAUCGGCUAACUCCGUGCCAGCAGCCGCGGUAAUACGGAGGAUGCGAGCGUUAUCCGGAUUUAUUGGGUUUAAAGGGUGCGUAGGCGGGUUAUCAAGUCAGCGGUAAAAUCGUGGAGCUCAACUCCAUCCAGCCGUGGAAACUGGUGUGCUUGAGUGGGCGGAAAGUAGGCGGAAUGCGUGGUGUAGCGGUGAAAUGCAUAGAUAUGACGCAGAACUCCGAUUGCGAAGGCAGCAUACCGGCGCCGGACUGACGCUGAAGCACGAAAGCGUGGGUAUCGAACAGGAUUAGAUACCCGGGUAGUC